GACGAACGCUGGCGGCGUGCCUAAUACAUGCAAGUCGAACGCAGUGGGGACGGGAGAGUAACACGUGGGUAACCUCCCAUCAGAGGGGAUAACACUUGGAAACAGGUGCUAAACCGAUACUGAUGGAUGGAUCCGAGGUGCAUUAGCUAGUUGGUGGGGUAACGGCUCACCAAGGCCACGAUGCAUAGCCGACCUGAGAGUGUGGUCGGCCACACUGGGGCUUGACCGCGGCCCAGGCUCCUACGGGAGGCAGCAAUAGGGAAUCUUCGGCAAUGGACGGAAGUCUUACCGAGCAACGCCACGUGAGUGAAGAAGGUUUUCGGAUCGUGAAACUCUGUUGUGAGAUAAACGGUAUCUAACCAGAAAGCCACGGCUAACUACGUGCCAGCAGCCGCGGUAAUUC
rnacentral:rRNA from 1 species